UGGAGCUGCAGCGCGCCGGGGGCAGCCGCGGCCGCCACGCCGAGCCCGGCAGGAUCUGUUGAAUACACGACUGUUGAUGUUGCUGCCCCAAAAAGUGGGGGAAGUGCUGCAAAUUAUGGAAAGAGAUUUCCUACUCAAAACAAUGGGAUUCUCUCAUUGUGGAAUAAUCUCUGCAAGCGUUGUGGACUCUCCAUACCAUGGACACGUGGAGCCAUAUCUCUGCCAAAUGCACCUGUAUCAGUGUUGGACUGGAUAUGCCUUGAAAUGGUGAAAAUAGAUCUCCAAAAAUCUCUUUAAGUAGUGAGAACUAUGAAAGAAUUGAACCUGAUUUGCCGGAAAAUCACUGCAGCUUCUCAUAUAGUUGGUUUUAUUGUUUUGUUUUAAUUAUUAUUUUUAAUAACCUGGAAGGUUUGGAUAAAAAGCUCUUGCACAAUGAAAAGCUCUUGCACUGUUUUUUACCAAGGUCUGGAAGUCAAACUUACUGUGAAUUUUUAUAAUGCCAGUGCAAUACUUUUGUUUGUAAGGGUGUUUUUAAAAUGUCUAUAUUAAACUGUUGACUCAUAGCUGCAAAUGUAGAAGUUGAUCAUAGUGUAAAUACACAAUUUACAGUGUCUCUUGUAAA